ensembl:lncRNA LY6E-DT LY6E divergent transcript
GUCGGCGAGCCCGCGGUGGGGGUCCCCGCGCCGCCCAGGCCUACCCCGGCUCCUUGGGAUAGAUGGGGAAGCUGAGGCCCAGAAGGGGGCUGAGACCACCUCCCAGUUUCCCCAGUGAGGUGGCGCCUGAGCCACGGCCAGGCCCGGCCUCCUUCCACCCGGCCCUGCUGUGCGCGCGGCGGGUGCUGACCUGGCGAGGCCGGACAGGGGACCAGGUCGGGGUGACCGUCACUGACACCUGGACAGUCCUCGUUGUGUUCGGGGUGGGAAGCCCACGGAAGACAUCAACACAGGAGACUCCCAAGACUGCUGGGGCCAAAUGUGGCAGGUGGACGUCUCCCCGCCACCGAGCAAGCCAUCAGUUCUGCAGCGGACACCAGCCGAGUGUCCUCCAACACCAUUCCGGUACCUGCAGAUAGCGUCAGAUCCAGACACCUACACACACACACACACACACACACACACACACAUAUGCACACACAUGAGCUGCGAGGGCCAGCCUCUGGAACUUCUUACCGACUGGCCCGACGUUGAGGUUCCCACUGUUAGAGGAACGCUUGCUCACCAGGCCUCUGGUUUAAUGAAACAUGACCAGAGUGACUCCAUCUUGAAGUGAGUAGGAGGCACUCACAAGGCACCUAUAAGGUUAAUGCUUAUGGUCUAAAAAUAGCCAUGUCUCAAGCUGGACACCAAUUAUAAUUACAGAAUAUUUGUGGCCAUAUGGGGCAUCUCCCAGCAAGCCCGCAGACUGUCCAGAUAACCCAAGAGUGCAGGCCACUUUACUCAGAGAUAAUUUCAAUGAGCAGCCUGAGGUUGGAGGAUGAACGGGCACUGAUGGCACCCACAGCCCCUAUCCUUAGUGGGUGCAUCUGCCCAUUCCAGGUGUAAUUGUAGCUCCUUACAGUUUCUUGUAAGCAGAGGCACUAACAGAGGACAGGCCCUCCUCCUCCUGCUUUCUGAGCACGCCCCACUCUGGAACGGAGCCAUUUCAAAUAAACCUGCUUCUCUCACUGUG